GGAUCCACCUCCUCCAGCGGCGCGUUCAGCUGCUUCGGCCAGGUGACUCCGGAUCUCUCCUCCGUCGCCGGCAGGGACGCCAUGUAGUAGAGCGGGGUGAUGCGGGAGAGCGGCUGGCGGCGGAGGGCGUCGGAGGAGAGCUUGCGGAGCGCCGUCGCCAUGGCCAUGGUGGGCGAGCGGCGAGCGGCGGGUGGUGGUGGAGGCGG
rnacentral:misc_RNA from 1 species